GAUGAACGCUGGCGGCGUGCCUAAUACAUGCAAGUCGAGCGAACAGACGAGGAGCUUGCUCCUCUGACGUUAGCGGCGGACGGGUGAGUAACACGUGGAUAACCUACCUAUAAGACUGGGAUAACUUCGGGAAACCGGAGCUAAUACCGGAUAAUAUAUUUAACCGCAUGGUUCAAUAGUGAAAGACGGUUUUGCUGUCACUUAUAGAUGGUUCCGCGCCGCAUUAGCUAGUUGGUAAGGUAACGGCUUACCAAGGCAACGAUGCGUAGCCGACCUGAGAGGGUGAUCGGCCACACUGGAACUGAGACACGGUCCAGACGCCUACGGGAGGCAGCAGUAGGGAAUCUUCCGCAAUGGGCGAAAGCUUGACGGAGCAACGCCGCGUGAGUGAUGAAGGUCUUCGGAUCGUAAAACUCUGUUAUUAGGGAAGAACAAAUGUGUAAGUAACUAUGCACGUCUUGACGGUACCUAAUCAGAAAGCCACGGCUAACUACGUG
rnacentral:rRNA from 1 species